rnacentral:rRNA from 1 species
ACCUGGUCUUGACAUACUAAGAACUUUCCAGAGAUGGAUUGGUUCCUUCGGGAACUUACAUACAGGUGCUGCAUGGCUGUCGUCAGCUCGUGUCGUGAGAUGUUGGGUUAAGUCCCGCAACGAGCGCAACCCUUUUCCUUAUUUGCCAGCGGGUUAAGCCGGGAACUUUAAGGAUACUGCCAGUGACAAACUGGAGGAAGGCGGGGAGGACGUCAAGUCAUCAUGGCCCUUACGACCAGGGCUACACACGUGCUACAAUGGUCGGUACAAAG